AACGAACGCUGGCGGCGUGGCUAAGACAUGCAAGUCGUACGAUACGUUGUAAGCAAUAUGACGUAUAGUGGCGGACGGGUGAGUAAUGAAUAGGUAACGUACCCAGGGCACAGGGAUAACGUCGGGUCCCGCAAGGGAUCCUUUGCGAAAGUGACGGUAAUACCUGGUGAAGUCUUUGAGUGGCGUCACUCGAAGACCAUAAGGUGGGGAUCUUCGGACCUACCGGCCUAGGAGCGGCCUAUUUCCAUCAGCUAGUUGGUGAGGUAACGGCUCACCAAGGCGACGACGGGUAGCCGGA
rnacentral:rRNA from 1 species